AGUGAACGCUGGCGGUAGGCCUAACACAUGCAAGUCGAACGGCAGCACAGUAAGAGCUUGCUCUUACGGGUGGCGAGUGGCGGACGGGUGAGGAAUACAUCGGAAUCUACUUUUUCGUGGGGGAUAACGUAGGGAAACUUACGCUCAUACCGCAUACGACCUACGGGUGAAAGCAGGGGAUCUUCGGACCUUGCGCGAUUGAAUGAGCCGAUGUCGGAUUAGCUAGUUGGCGGGGUAAAGGCCCACCAAGGCGACGAUCCGUAGCUGGUCUGAGAGGAUGAUCAGCCACACUGGAACUGAGACACGGUCCAUACUCCUACGGGAGGCAGCAGUGGGGAAUAUUGGACAAUGGGCGCAAGCCUGAUCCAGCCAUACCGCGUGGGUGAAGAAGGCCUUCGGGUUGUAAAGCCCUUUUGUUGGGAAAGAAAAGCAGCAGGUUAAUACCCCGCUGUUCUGACGGUAAACAAAGAAUAAGCACCGGCUAACUUCGUG
rnacentral:rRNA from 1 species